rnacentral:rRNA from 1 species
AGCGAACGCUGGCGGCAGGCCUAACACAUGCAAGUCGAGCGGCAGCACGGGUACUUGUACCUGGUGGCGAGCGGCGGACGGGUGAGUAAUGCCUAGGAAUCUGCCUGGUAGUGGGGGAUAACGCUCGGAAACGGACGCUAAUACCGCAUACGUCCUACGGGAGAAAGCAGGGGACCUUCGGGCCUUGCGCUAUCAGAUGA